AUCACUUCUCGGCCUUUUGGCUAAUAUCAAGUGUAGUAUCUGUUCUUAUCAGUUUAAUAUCUGAUAUGUCCUCUAUCCGAGGACAAUAUAUUAAAUGGAUUUUUGGAAAUAAGAGAUGGAAUAGGAGCUUGCUCCGUCCACUCCACUCAUUGGCCUGGUAUUGCAGUACUUCCAGAAACGGUGCCCCCCAA
ensembl:snRNA U2 U2 spliceosomal RNA